GUAUUGUAGCGCUUCUACUCUUUCUGUUCGUCUUGGCCUUCCUUCGCUUCACGGCGCCACACCACCUCCUCGUGUGCUCGAUCCUCGUGUAUCUUUUGCCUCACGUGGAAAUCUCUGUCGCGCUCGCCAUGGAUCCGUCGUCGGCGACAGCCGUCGCCAGUAACGCUACGGCUUUGGCUGGUGCUGGUGUUGCUGGACAUGAAGCGACCCAACACGCACCAGGCAGCACCACUGAAGGCUCCGGCUCCGGCUCCGGCUUAGGCGCCACCCCGCGCACGAGCGACAGCCCCGCUGAGGACCCGGCGUUCUCGAUCGAUGUUACUAGUGGCAGCACCUCCAACCCGGCACCCAUGCAACGUGCCUCGGCGUCUCGCACUAAGGGUGGGCGUCUCAGAGAGAACUCAGGAAAUGCUCCCAGGGUCGCCGCGGCGGCGCCAGCAGGGGCGAGCGAGCCUAGCAGCGAUGCCAGCUCACCGACAGAAGGGAAGAGCUUCGCUGAGCGUAUCGAGAACCUUUCCGCUGUCGAGGACCGCUAUCGUUUUCACCUCGAGUGCCUUGCUGAGGAUGAGCUGGAGGAUCUAUGCGACAUCAUGAUAUCACGUGAGGACGAACUCCUGCAAGAUGGCUUUCGUGGCAUCGACGCCGAGAAAGAGGGCGAGGAGCGGGGCUUACUUCCCGGUGAAGGCGAGAGCGACGCAGUCUCUGACCCUUUCCACGAAGACGAGGAUGCUGAGGCGCGGCUGCAGCGCAGAAACGCUGUUGCAGCAGCAGCAAGCCGGACUAGCGACGGCGAUGGCAUCGCUGUCGCAGCGGAGCCGGACGAGGAGUUCGAGAGCUUCCGCGACGCCGCACCGUACGACGCGGCGACGCGGAUCGAGCGGCUGGCACAACCGGGGGCGUACACGAGGAGUGGCUCUUCGUGGCUCACGACCAACACCCUGCACGCUCUUGACAUGUCGAGCGUCUCAGUCGUGCAGCUCACAUCCGAGUUUUACUCACCAGCGCACACAGGAGACGAAACGGACCACUGCGACACAAGUACGGGAGGGAAAGACGAGGACGCUUCCGUCCACAUGGAUGAGGAGGCCAUCGCUGCUGCACGCAGCGCAAGGGCAGCGCGUGCCUUGCGCCUCCGCCAUGAGAAGGCGCGAGUCGAACAGGAGCGUGCUGCGCAGGCCCAGAAGAUGUCCACUGCCCUGCUGCUUUCUACUGCACCAGUGCCCGCAGAUGAUCAAGAAGAGGAGGAGCAGCUCGAUGCUUACGCCCUCUACGGCCCGAGGCGUGCCGUUGGCCGCCCCGCCUCCAUGGACCUUGGAUCUGCGGAGGAUGGACGGGCAACGAGUGCUGAGACGGAUGCUGAUGAC
rnacentral:misc_RNA from 1 species